UACGUAGGGUGCAAGCGUUGUCCGGAAUUAUUGGGCGUAAAGAGCUCGUAGGUGGUUCGGUAAGUCGGAUGUGAAAUCUCCAGGCUCAACCUGGAGGGGUCAUUCGAUACUGCCGUGACUAGAGGUCGGUAGGGGAGUGUGGAAUUCCUGGUGGAGCGGUGAAAUGCGCAGAUAUCAGGAGGGACACCCGUAGCGAAGGCGGCACUCUGGGCCGAUACUGACACUGAGGAGCGAAAGCAUGGGUAGCAAACAGG
rnacentral:rRNA from 1 species